ACCUUUAGCUCAGUUGGUUAGAGCAACCGGCUCAUAACCGGUCGGUCCUGGGUUCGAGUCCCCGAAGGUCCA
rnacentral:tRNA from 1 species